rnacentral:rRNA from 1 species
GAUGAACGCUAGCUACAGGCUUAACACAUGCAAGUCGAGGGACCGGCGCGCGGGUGCGUAACACGUGUCCAGCAUGCGCUUUACUCGGGGAUAGCCUGUCGAAAGAAAGAUUAAUAACCGAUAUAAAGGAUGGGGAUGCGUUCCAUUAGGGUGUUGGUAAGGUAACGGCCAACCAAGCAUUCGAUGGAUAGGGGUUCUGCGAUGAAGGUCCCCCACAUUGGAACUGAGACCCGGUCCCAACCCGUAGGGGAGGCAGCAGUGAGGAAGAUUGGGCAAUGGGCGUUAGCCUGACCCAGCCAAGUAGCGUGAAGGAUGCAUGCGUAUUGGUCCUAAACUUCUUUUAUAGAAGAAUAUUUAUUAUAUGAAUAAGGAUCGGCUAACUCCGUGCCAGCAGCCGCGGUAAUAC